rnacentral:ncRNA from 1 species
CCAAACACAUAAACCUUUGAUGCAAUUUGCAAAGUAGAAAACAAAUAGUCAUUGUAAUGUAGUUUGAAAUUUCAUUGAUUUGAGAUCUUGAUAAGGUGAAUACCCAGUCUAUUCAAUGCUAGGCAUAAUGAGUAUAAGGACCUCAAAAAAAUCUUUUUUCGUUAUAUGAACUCUCGCAGCUGAUUAGCUAGUUAUGAGGCAAUAACUUAUCAAGACGAUGAUCAGUAGCUGGUCCGAGAGGAUGAUCAGCCACACUAGGACUGAGACCCGGCCCAGACUCCUAUAGGAGGCAGUAGUGGGGAAUGACUGGGUCGAAAAAGUGACCAU